GAUGAACGCUGGCGGCGUGCCUAAUACAUGCAAGUCGAGCGAACGGACGAUAAGCUUGCUCUUCUGAUGUUAGCGGCGGACGGGUGAGUAACACGUGGAUAACCUACCUAUAAUACUGGGAUAACUUCGGGAAACCGGAGCUAAUACCGGCUAAUAUUUUGAACCGCAUGGUUCAAAAGUGAAAGACGGUCUUGCUGUCACUUAUAGCUGGUUCCGCGCUGCAUUAGCUAGUUGGUAAGGUAACGGCUUAACAAGGCAACGAUGCAUAGCCGACCUGAGAGGGUGAUCGGCCAAACUGGAACUGAGACCCGGUCCAAACUCCUACGGGAGGCAGCAGUAGGGAAUCUUCCGCAAUGGGCGACAGCCUGACGGAGCAAAGCCGGGGGAGGGAUGAAGGGCUUCGGAUCGUAAAACUCUGUUAGUAGGGAAGAACAUAUGUGUAAGUAACUGUGCACAGCUUGAAGGUACCUAAUCAGAAAGCCACGGCUAACUACGUG
rnacentral:rRNA from 1 species